GGGGCUGAUGGGAGAUCUGAGGCCUCUGAUAGAAACCACGUGUUCCUCGUCUGAUCUCUCAGCUCGUCCUUGUUUGUCCUCUGCAGCGUCACAGCGUCACUUCUCCUCGGGUUCACCAGAGGAAACAUCGCAGCUCCAAAAUGCUUCUCCUCCCAGCCGCCGCCCUGUGCUGCCUGUGUUCAGCGCUGGUUUCCAUGGCAGCCGAGCUGAUUCAGGAUGAUUUAUCAUUGACCAGGAGAGUCGGUGAAGAAGUCUCCUUCAGCUGUGGAGGCACUCAUCAGUGUUACAAUAACUACGUAUACUGGUACCACAAGAAAAACACAGAAACAUUCAGACUGAUUCUUGGUAUUGACAAGAGUAAUGGAGCUUUAGAUAAAAGCUACAAUCAUCCACAGCAAGAUGAUUUCUCAGCUGUGAAAAAGAACGGCUGGGAGCUGCAGAUCAAGAGAGUUAAAAACUCUCAUUCAGCCACAUAUUACUGCUCCUGUUAUGUUAGUGGUCUCCACAGUGAGAAAUGAAGCGAGCUGCCUGAACAAAAACCAACACAUGAACAGAUGUCACUCAGAGUUAGUUACAGGAAGAGAGCAGUGAACCACAGCCCAGGUUCACAUGUUUCACCUCCAUCUCAGCCAGAGUCACAAACACUGAGGGAUUUAUUCUAUCACUGCUGACGGGACGCCUUCAUUUUAAAAUUAUACUUAUCAGGUG